rnacentral:rRNA from 1 species
AAGGUCUCCGUUGGUGAACCAGCGGAGGGAUCAUUACAGAGUUUACAUACUCCAAAACCCUUUGUCUACCUACCAAAAACGUUGCUUCGGCAGGCGACCCCAGGGCGGGGUCGUUGGGUGCCUGCCGGAGGUUUUUUCUCCAAACUCUUGUUUUUACAAACAUGAAUCUCUGAGUACCUAUUGUAAUAAGUUAAAACUUUCAACAACGGAUCUCUUGGUUCUGGCAUCGAUGAAGAACGCAGCGAAAUGCGAUAAGUAAUGUGAAUUGCAGAAUUCAGUGAAUCAUCGAAUCUUUGAACGCACAUUGCGCCCGCCAGUAUUCUGGCGGGCAUGCCUGUUCGAGCGUCAUUACAACCCUCAAGCCCAGCUUGGUGUUGGGGACCUACGGCUCGCCGUAGGCCCCGAAAUUCAGUGGCGGGCUCGCCGUAGACCCGAGCGCAGUAGUAACAUCUCGCUUGCGGACCACCGGUGGGUGCUGGCCGUUAAACCCCAACUUAAAGACGUUUGACCUCGGAUCAGGUAGGAAUACCCGCUGAACUUAAGCAU